rnacentral:rRNA from 1 species
GACGGACGCUGGCGGCGUGCUUAACACAUGCAAGUCGAACGAAGAGCGAUGGAAGCUUGCUUCUAUCAAUCUUAGUGGCGAACGGGUGAGUAACGCGUAAUCAACCUGCCCUUCAGAGGGGGACAACAGUUGGAAACGACUGCUAAUACCGCAUACGAUCUAAUCUCGGCAUCGAGGAUAGAUGAAAGGUGGCCUCUACAUGUAAGCUAUCACUGAAGGAGGGGAUUGCGUCUGAUUAGCUAGUUGGAGGGGUAACGGCCCACCAAGGCGAUGAUCAGUAGCCGGUCUGAGAGGAUGAACGGCCACAUUGGGACUGAGACACGGCCCAGACUCCUACGGGAGGCAGCAGUGGGGAAUAUUCGC